UACGGGGGGGGCAAGCGUUGUUCGGAAUUACUGGGCGUAAAGGGCUCGUAGGCGGCCAACUAAGUCAGACGUGAAAUCCCUCGGCUUAACCGGGGAACUGCGUCUGAUACUGGAUGGCUAGAGGUUGGGAGAGGGAUGCGGAAUUCCAGGUGUAGCGGUGAAAUGCGUAGAUAUCUGGAGGAACACCGGUGGCGAAGGCGGCAUCCUGGACCGAUACUGACGCUGAGGCGCGAAAGCGUGGGGAGCAAACAGG
rnacentral:rRNA from 1 species